rnacentral:rRNA from 1 species
UACGGAGGAUGCAAGCGUUAUCCGGAAUUAUUGGGCGUAAAGCGUCCGCAGGUGGUUAUCCAAGUCUGCUGUUAAAGCGCGAGGCUUAACUUCGUACAGGCAGUGGAAACUGGGUGACUGGAGUAUGGUAGGGGUAGCGGGAAUUCCCAGUGUAGCGGUGAAAUGCGUAGAUAUUGGGAGGAACACCAGUGGCGAAGGCGACUACCUGGCCUGUUCUUGACGCUGAGGCGCGAAAGCGUGGGGAGCAAACAGG